AAGGAUCAUUAGUAUAGGAUCACUGCUUUUGAGCGGUGAUUAAUUUUAAACUCAUCUGUGUAUCUUACCUGUUGCUUCCGUACUGCGUGGACAUUUGGUCCCCUUGUACCGUACCUCAGUACGGUUCUGAGUGUUGGUACGGGAGGUAUACACCAAACUCUUGCAUUUCAUGUCAUCGGUCUGAACUGUUUAUAAAAAAACAAGUUAAAACUUUCAACAACGGAUCUCUUGGUUCUC
rnacentral:misc_RNA from 1 species